ACAGGUGCUGCAUGGCUGUCGUCAGCUCGUGUUGUGAAAUGUUGGGUUAAGUCCCGCAACGAGCGCAACCCUUAUCCUUUGUUGCCAGCGAUUCGGUCGGGAACUCAAAGGAGACUGCCAGUGAUAAACUGGAGGAAGGUGGGGAUGACGUCAAGUCAUCAUGGCCCUUACGACCAGGGCUACACACGUGCUACAAUGGCGCAUACAAAGAGAAGCGACCUCGCGAGAGCAAGCGGACCUCAUAAAGUGCGUCGUAGUCCGGAUUGGAGUCUGCAACUCGACUCCAUGAAGUCGGAAUCGCUAGUAAUCGUGGAUCAGAAUGCCACGGUGAAUACGUUCCCGGGCCUUGUACACACCGCCCGUCACACCAUGGGAGUGGGUUGCAAAAGAAGUAGGUAGCUUAACCUUCGGGAGGGCGCUUACCACUUUGUGAUUCAUGACUGGGGUGAAGUCGUAACAAGGUAACCGUAGGGGAACCUGC
rnacentral:rRNA from 1 species